AAUAGAUACCCGGGUAGUCCACGCCGUAAACGAUGUCGACUUGGAGGUUGUUCCCUUGAGGAGUGGCUUCCGGAGCUAACGCGUUAAGUCGACCGCCUGGGGAGUACGGCCGCAAGGUUAAAACUCAAAUGAAUUGACGGGGGCCCGCACAAGCGGUGGAGCAUGUGGUUUAAUUCGAUGCAACGCGAAGAACCUUACCUACUCUUGACAUCCAGAGAACUUUCCAGAGAUGGAUUGGUGCCUUCGGGAACUCUGAGACAGGUGCUGCAUGGCUGUCGUCAGCUCGUGUUGUGAAAUGUUGGGUUAAGUCCCGCAACGAGCGCAACCCUUAUCCUUUGUUGCCAGCGGUUCGGCCGGGAACUCAAAGGAGACUGCCAGUGAUAAACUGGAGGAAGUGGGGAUGACGUCAAGUCAUCAUGGCCCUUACGAGUAGGGCUACACACGUGCUACAAUGGCGUAUACAAAGAGAAGCGACCUCGCGAGAGCAAGCGGACCUCAUAAAGUACGUCGUAGUCCGGAUUGGAGUCUGCAACUCGACUCC
rnacentral:rRNA from 1 species